AGCAGCCGCGGUAAUUCCAGCUCCAAUAGCGUAUAUUAAAGUUGUUGCAGUUAAAAAGCUCGUAGUUGAAUUUCGGAAUCUGUCCGUUGGUCGGGCUUCAUUGUCCGUACUGGUGUGAUGGGUUCUUACCUUCUGAAUAACCAGCAUGCCAUUCAUUUGGUGCGUUGGGGAAGCAGGACUAUUACCUUGAAAAAAUUAGAGUGCUCAAAGCAGGCUAGUGCCUGAAUACAUUAGCAUGGAAUAAUAAAAUAGGACGGCAUGGUUCUAUUUAGUUGGUUUCUAGGAUCACCGUAAUGAUUAAUAGGGAUAGUUGGGGGCAUUAGUAUUCAAUUGUCAGAGGUGAAAUUCUUGGAUUUAUUGAAGACUAACUUCUGCGAAAGCAUUUGCCAAGGAUGUUUUCAUUAAUCAAGGACGAAAGUUAGGGGAUCGAAGACGAUCAGAUACCGUCGUAGUCUUAACCAUAAACUAUGCCGACUAGGGAUCGGACGAUGUUAAUUUUUUAAAGACGNCG
rnacentral:rRNA from 1 species